GACGUAGGGCGCGAGCGUUGUCCGGAUUUAUUGGGCGUAAAGAGCUCGUAGGCGGCUUGUCGCGUCGACUGUGAAAACUCGGGGCUCAACUCCGAGCUUGCAGUCGAUACGGGCAGGCUAGAGUUCGGUAGGGGGAGACUGGAAAUUCCUGGUGUAGCGGUGAAAUGCGCAGAUAUCAGGAGGAACACCGGUGGCGAAGGCGGGUCUCUGGGCCGAUACUGACGCUGAGGAGCGAAAGCGUGGGGAGCAAACAGG
rnacentral:rRNA from 1 species